rnacentral:rRNA from 1 species
GACGAACCGAGCGAACGUUGUUCGGAAUCACUGGGCUUAAAGGGCGCGUAGGCGGAUUCUCAAGUCCGGGGUGAAAUCCUCCAGCUCAACUGGAGAACUGCCUCGGAUACUGGGUGUCUCGAGGGUGGUAGGGGUAUGCGGAACUAUCGGUGGAGCGGUGAAAUGCGUUGAUAUCGAUAGGAACUCCGGUGGCGAAGGCGGCAUACUGGACCACAUCUGACGCUGAGGCGCGAAAGCGUGGGGAGCAAACAGG